rnacentral:rRNA from 1 species
CUACGGGAGGCAGCAGUAAGGAAUCUUCCACAAUGGACGAAAGUCUGAUGGAGCAACGCCGCGUGCAGGAUGAAGGCUUUCGGGUCGUAAACUGCUUUUAUAUGGGAAGAUUAUGACGGUACCAUAUGAAUAAGGACCGGCUAACUACGUGCCAGCAGCCGCGGUAAUACGUAGGGUCCAAGCGAUAUCCGGAAUUACUGGGCGUAAAGCGUGUGUAGGUGGAUUAAUAAGUGUGAUGCGAAAUCCGGCGGCUCAACCGUUUGGACUGUGUCGCAUACUGUUAGUCUAGAGGACGGCAGAGGUAAGUGGAAUUACGGGUGUAGCAGUGAAAUGCGUAGAUAUCCGUAGGAACACCAAUGGCGAAGGCAGCUUACUGGGCCACACCUGACACUGAGACACGAAAGCGUGGGGAGCGAACAGGAUUAGAUACCCUGGUAGUCCACGCCGUAAACGAUGCAUACUAUUAGUAUGGGGUAUCGACCCCCUGUGCUGAGAAGCUAACGCGAUAAGUAUGCCGCCGNGGAGGUAGAGCGCGAGAACGUAAACGUACGAAAGAAGUAGUUAGGCGUGAGAGNGCGACGGACGACGACGAGGGAGGAGG